rnacentral:rRNA from 1 species
AUUGAACGCUGGCGGCAGGCCUAACACAUGCAAGUCGAACGAGUGGCGGAAGGGUGAGUAAUGUCUGGGAACCUGCCUGAUGGCGGGGGAUAACUCCUGGAAACGGUAGCUAAUACCGCAUCCCAUCAGAUGUGCCCAGAUGGGAUUAGCGAGUGGGUGGGGUAACGGCUCACCAAGGCGACGAUCCCUAGCUGGUCUGAGAGGAUGACCGUCCACACUGGAACUGCGACACGGUCCAGACUCCUACGGGAGGCAGCAGUGGGGAAUAUUGCACAAUGGGCGCAAGCCUGAUGCAGCCAUGCCGCGUGUAUGAAGAAGGCCUUCGGGUUGUAAAGUACUUUCAGCUGUGAGGCGUUACCCGCAGAAGAAGCACCGGCUAACUCCGUGCCAGCCGCCGCGGUAAUAC